rnacentral:lncRNA from 1 species
UCACGUGUGGACAUUGGGACCCCAGGGCCUGAGCUGAGACCCCAGCACUGCCCUUUACUCUCUGGGACCUUGGACAAGUGACCCAACCUCUCUGUGCCUCGCUGUCCUCAUCUGGAAAAUGGAGACAAUAACUGUAUCCAGGUCACUGCUUUCUUAGGAAGAUUAGCAAGACCAGUAUACAACGUGCCAGGGUCAUCUAUGCUGGGAAGGGCUGAGUGGGCUGCAGACAGGGCCAUGGAUGGCCUCUCUGAGCAGGUGCUUUUGAGACCAGACCAGUGGAAGUGGGGAGCAACCUUGCAGCUGGUCUGGGUCAGGCGCAGGGCAAAAGCCCAGGGCAGGGAGCACUUCAGGUGCUCGAGAAGUGGUGAGAAUCCACGGGGAGCAAGAGCCCAGGAAGCCAGGCAUCGACAAUGGAGUUCCCUCUGAGCACCUGAGACGGCUGUGCCGGGGACUCCUGAGCAGAGGCCAAUGCAGCCAACUCGCAUUUAAGGGCCCGCUGGCUGUCGUGGAAGUGCCUGGAUACUCAGGAAGAGCUACAAGCAUCUGGAGGCGGCCCAAGGGUGCAGAGUUUGAUUCUUUCCAUUGACAUGUUA